rnacentral:rRNA from 1 species
UACGAAGGGGGCUAGCGUUGUUCGGAUUUACUGGGCGUAAAGCGCUCGUAGGCGGAUCGAUCAGUCAGGGGUGAAAUCCCAGAGCUCAACUCUGGAACUGCCUUUGAUACUGUCGAUCUGGAGUAUGGAAGAGGUGAGUGGAAUUCCGAGUGUAGAGGUGAAAUUCGUAGAUAUUCGGAGGAACACCAGUGGCGAAGGCGGCUCACUGGUCCAUUACUGACGCUGAGGUGCGAAAGCGUGGGGAGCAAACAGG